rnacentral:rRNA from 1 species
UACGUAGGUGGCAAGCGUUGUCCGGAUUUACUGGGCGUAAAGGGCGUGCAGGCGGUUUGUUAAGUGCAGGGUGAAAGCUCCCGGCUCAACUGGGAGAGGUCCUUGCAUACUGGCAAACUCGAGGGAGGCAGAGGAAAGUGGAAUUCCCGGUGUAGUGGUGAUAUGCGUAGAUAUCGAGAGGAACACCUGCGGCGAAGGCGGGUUGCUGGGCUGACACUGACGCUGAACUGCGAAAGCUAGGGGAGCGAACGGG